GAUGAACGCUGGCGGCGUGCCUAAUACAUGCAAGUCGAGCGAAUGGAUUAAGAGCUUGCUCUUAUGAAGUUAGCGGCGGACGGGUGAGUAACACGUGGGUAACCUGCCCAUAAGACUGGGAUAACUCCGGGAAACCGGGGCUAAUACCGGAUAACAUUUUGAACCGCAUGGUUCGAAAUUGAAAGGCGGCUUCGGCUGUCACUUAUGGAUGGACCCGCGUCGCAUUAGCUAGUUGGUGAGGUAACGGCUCACCAAGGCAACGAUGCGUAGCCGACCGGAGGGGGUGAUCGGCCACACGGGGACUGAGACACGGCCCAGACUCCUACGGGAGGCAGCAGUAGGGAAUCUUCCGCAAUGGACGAAAGUCUGACGGAGCAACGCCGGGUGAGUGAUGAAGGCUUUCGGGUCGUAAAACUCUGUUGUUAGGGAAGAACAAGUGCUAGUUGAAUAAGCUGGCACCUUGACGGUACCUAACCAGAAAGCCACGGCUAACUACGUGCCAGCAGCCGCGGUAA
rnacentral:rRNA from 1 species